GAUGAACGCUGACAGAAUGCUUAACACAUGCAAGUCAACUUGAACUUCGGUUUGGGUGGCGGACGGGUGAGUAACGCGUAAAGAACUUGCCUCACAGUUAGGGACAACAUUUGGAAACGAAUGCUAAUACCUGAUAUUAUGAUUUUAGGGCAUCCUAGAAUUAUGAAAGCUAUAUGCGCUGUGAGAGAGCUUUGCGUCCCAUUAGCUAGUUGGAGAGGUAACGGCUCACGAAGGCGAUGAUGGGUAGCCGGCCUGGGAGGGUGAACGGCCACAAGGGGACUGAGACACGGCCCUUACUCCUACGGGAGGCAGCGGUGGGGAAUAUUGGACGAUGGACCAAGAGUCUGAUCCAGCAAUUCUGUGUGCACGAUGAAGUUUUUCGGAAUGUAAAGUGCUUUCAGUUGGGAAGAAAAAAAUGACGAUACCAACAGAAGAAGUAACGGCUAAAUACGUG
rnacentral:rRNA from 1 species